rnacentral:rRNA from 1 species
UACGUAGGGUGCAAGCGUUGUCCGGAAUUAUUGGGCGUAAAGAGCUCGUAGGCGGUUUGUCGCGUCUGCUGUGAAAUCCCGAGGCUCAACCUCGGGUCUGCAGUGGGUACGGGCAGACUAGAGUGCAGUAGGGGAGAUUGGAACUCCUGGUGUAGCGGUGGAAUGCGCAGAUAUCAGGAAGAACACCGAUGGCGAAGGCAGAUCUCUGGGCCGUAACUGACGCUGAGGAGCGAAAGCCAGGGGAGCGAACGGG